GACGAACGCUGGCGGCGCGCUUAACACAUGCAAGUCGAGCGAAGCGGCGGACGGGGGAGUAACACGUGAGUAACCUGCCUUAGACAUUGGGAUAGCCUCGGGAAACAGGGAUUAAUACAAAAUGGUCUAAGAUGGACUCGAGUGCCAUUAGCUAGGUGGUGAGGUAACGGCCCUCCAAGGCGACGAUGGGUAGCCGGCCUGAGAGGGUGAACGGCAACAUUGGAAGUGAGAAACGGUCCAAACGCUACGGGAGGGAGCAGUGGGGAAUAUUGCACAAUGGAGGUAACUCUGAGGCAGCGAGGCCGCGUAAACGAAGAAGGCUGUCGAGUCGUAAGGGUCUUUAAUAUGGGAAUCGGUACUAUAAGAAAAAGCCCCGGCUAACUACGUGCCAGCCGCCGCGGUAAUAC
rnacentral:rRNA from 1 species